AUUGGGCGUAAGAGCUCGUAGGCGGUUUGUCGCGUCUGCUGUGAAAACUCGAGGCUCAACCUCGGGCCUGCAGUGGGUACGGGCAGACUAGAGUGCGGUAGGGGAGACUGGAAUUCCUGGUGUAGCGGUGGAAUGCGCAGAUAUCAGGAGGAACACCGAUGGCGAAGGCAGGUCUCUGGGCCGCAACUGACGCUGAGGAGCGAAAGCAUGGGGAGCGAACAGGAUUAGAUACCCUGGUAGUCCAUGCCGUAAACGUUGGGCACUAGGUGUGGGGCUCAUUCCACGAGUUCCGUGCCGCAGCAAACGCAUUAAGUGCCCCCGCCUGGGGAGUACGGCCCGCAAGGCUAAAACUCAAAGGAAAUUGACGGGGGGCCCGCGACCAGCGGGCGGAGCAUGCGGGAUUAAUUCGAUGCAACCGCAAAGAACCUUAACAAGGGCUUGACAUACCCCCGGAAACUCCCAAAAAUGGUUGCCCC
rnacentral:rRNA from 1 species